GCUGGCGGCAGGCCUAACACAUGCAAGUCGAGCGGUAACAGAAAGAAAGCUUGCUUUCUUUGCUGACGAGCGGCGACGGGUGAGUAAUGCCUGGGAAUAUGCCUUAGUGUGGGGGAUAACUAUUGGAAACGAUAGCUAAUACCGCAUAACGUCUUCGGACCAAAGAGGGGGACCUUCGGGCCUCUCGCGCUAAGAUUAGCCCAGGUGGGAUUAGCUAGUUGGUGAGGUAAAGGCUCACCAAGGCAACGAUCCCUAGCUGGUCUGAGAGGAUGAUCAGCCACACUGGAACUGAGACACGGUCCAGACUCCUACGGGAGGCAGCAGUGGGGAAUAUUGCACAAUGGGGGAAACCCUGAUGCAGCCAUGCCGCGUGUAUGAAGAAGGCCUUCGGGUUGUAAAGUACUUUCAGUCGUGAGGAAGGCAUUGUAGUUAAUAGCUGCAGUGCUUGACGUUAGCGACAGAAGAAGCACCGGCUAACUCCGUG
rnacentral:rRNA from 1 species